GUAGUCAUAUGCUUGUCUCAAAGAUUAAGCCAUGCAUGUGUAAGUAUAAGCGAUUGUACUGUGAGACUGCGAACGGCUCAUUAUAUCAGUAAUAAUUUCUUCGGUAGUUUCUUUUAUAUGGAUACCUGCAGUAAUUCUGGAGAUAAUACAUGCUGUAAGAGCCCUGUAUGGGGCUGCACUUAUUAGAUUGAAGCCGAUUUUAUUGGUGAAUCAUGAUAAUUGAGCAGAUUGACUUUUUAGUCGAUGAAUCGUUUGAGUUUCUGCCCCAUCAGUUGUCGACGGUAGUGUAUUGGACUACGGUGACUAUAACGGGUGACGGAGAGUUAGGGCUCGACUCCGGAGAGGGAGCCUGAGAGACGGCUACCAUAUCCAAGGAUAGCAGCAGGCGCGUAAAUUACCCACUGUGGACUCCACGAGGUAGUGACGAGAAAUAUCGAUGCGAAGCGUGUAUGCGUUUUGCUAUCGGAAUGAGAGCAAUGUAAAACCCUCAUCGAGGAUCAACUGGAGGGCAAGUCUGGUGCCAGCAGCCGCGGUAAUUCCAGCUCCAGAAGCAUAUGCUAAAGUUGUUGCAGUUAAAAAGCUCGUAGUUGAAUUUCUGGCAUGGGCGACCGGUGCUUUCCCUGAAUGGGGAUUGAUUGUCUGUGUUGCCUUGGCCAUCUUUUUCUUUUCUUUAUAGGGGAGAAAUCUUUCACUGUAAUCAAAGCAGAGUGUUCCAAGCAGGUCGUAUGACCGGUAUGUUUAUUAUGGGAUGAUAAGAUAGGACUUGGGUGCUAUUUUGUUGGUUUGCACGCCUGAGUAAUGGUUAAUAGGAACAGUUGGGGGUAUUCGUAUUUAGGAGCUAGAGGUGAAAUUCUUGGAUUUCCGAAAGACGAACUAGAGCGAAGGCAUUUACCAAGCAUGUUUUCAUUAAUCAAGAACGAAAGUCUGGGGAUCGAAGAUGAUUAGAUACCAUCGUAGUCUAGACCGUAAACGAUGCCGACUUGCGAUUGUUGGGUGCUUUAUUCUAUGGGCCUCAGCAGCAGCACAUGAGAAAUCAAAGUCUUUGGGUUCCGGGGGGAGUAUGGUCGCAAGGCUGAGACUUAAAGGAAUUGACGGAAGGGCACCACCAGGAGUGGAGCCUGCGGCUUAAUUUGACUCAACACGGGAAAACUUACCAGGUCCAGACAUAGGUAGGAUUGACAGAUUGAGAGCUCUUUCAUGAUUCUAUGGGUGGUGGUGCAUGGCCGUUCUUAGUUGGUGGAGUGAUUUGUCUGGUUAAUUCCGUUAACGAACGAGACCUCGGCCUACUAAAUAGUGCGUGGUAUGGCAACAUAGUACGUUUUUAACUUCUUAGAGGGACAUGUCCGGUUUACGGGCAGGAAGUUCGAGGCAAUAACAGGUCUGUGAUGC
rnacentral:rRNA from 1 species